UCUAAGUAAGUAUUGUUUUUUAUUUAUAUUGAGAUCUACUUCCUAUUAUCAUAGCAGGGAAAAAAGGUGCCCCCUUUGGGACUCAGGAAACUGAUAGGUGAGAAGGUGAGUUGGAGACAAAAGCGAAUGAAGACCCUUGGCAGCACAACAAGCAACCAAGGAAUGAAAGGACUGUUUGCUCUCGUUUCCAAGUAGAUUGGCCUGGCUACAGUUCUUUCACUGAUUUUCUGACCACCCUUGAUCAGCAAUUAGGAACUGUCAACUGUCUCCAUCCAAAGGCUGUUUGUGAUAACAGCCAGGCCUUCUAGUGUUGUCCCUGAACUAGGAAAAGGUCCUAGCCUAAAGCGGCAAAAGAUACAGCCCGUCUUAUUCUCAGCCCUCCCUUUGCCAAUAAAAAAACACACAGAAAAGAAAAGAUGUGCUGGCAUUCCAAUAAAAAUAAACUCAGAUGUUAAAAGACAAAUCUUACUUUAUUCAGGGAAAGAUGGUGAACUCUGAAAUGGGAGGAAUAAAAUCUGUAAUGGAAAUUUGAGGAAGAAUUUUUUUAGAUGUUAUCUUCACAUGCAGUUACUCGGAAUAAGAAAGGCAAUAUCUGAAGUGCUAUAAUCACCUACAGUUAUGAGGAAAAAAAAAGGAUUUCUUAACAGGAUAGCUAUUGAAGUUAUGCAGGUCAAAUUGAAAAAAAAAAAAAUCAAAUUUGCUGAGUAGACCCUAAACACAACCUUAUACAUUCCAAAUAAAAAGCAUAUGCUGAUUCCAGAUAUUACUGUGAUUGAUUGCUAGUGGUGCAAACUAGAGGUACAAUAUUUCCUGGAGGAAGACACUGUGACUUAGGGGUUGCAGGUACUGAUAGCUCUGCAGGGAGAGUACUUGAGAUUCUGCUUAUAUAAGGUGCUUGAGAGCAUCUGUGAGGUUUCAGUUGUAUCCACUUGCUUUGCCAGAGAACUGACCUAAAAAACAAAGGAAUAGGUCCUCCUAGUCAAAGCAUCAGCUUCUCUGGAAUGACAUCUGUGAAAAGGAUCUUGAAGGUAGAGAAAAUGGAAAUAAAGUAACCUGCACUAGAAGAACUAGAAGAACCUGCACUGUUACAAGAAGUCAGUCUCCUGAGUCCUGGACCAGGUCAGUUCUUGCUGGAUCAUGCUCUGCCCAAAACUGUCUGGCCUUUCUGGACAAUGGUUUAAAAAAAAGAGAGAGAGAGAGAAAUAUCUGUUUAUUUUUUACAUAUUCCAUUGCAUUUGUUAGACUUUAGACUGUAUACAACCUUAUAUAAUAUCCAGAAAGUUGCAGUAGUUUUAAAGCAACAACUGGAUCAAAUAUGCAGGUAUUAUACAUAGGAUGUCAAAUAGCAUAAGAAGAGUCAUAUGAUGAGAGUGCCUUUUGUCUUCCCCUUUUUUCUGGAGGACACUUUUCUGGAGGACAAGAAAAAUCACAAAAGUAUGGUAUUCAAAGCAAAGCCUCAGGAGCAAACUAAUGAUAGAUGAAAAGAAGCAAGAAACUUUUAUAAAGCCAGCCUAUUACCUAUUCUUUUUCUUUCGGCUCCAGGAAGAGUUACUGUAGAAGA
ensembl:lncRNA